CCUACGGGAGGCAGCAGUGAGGAAUAUUGGUCAAUGGGCGCGAGCCUGAACCAGCCAAGUCGCGUGAGGGAAGACGGUCCUAUGGAUUGUAAACCUCUUUUGUCGGGGAGCAAAAGACGCCACGCGUGGCGUUCCGAGAGUACCCGAAGAAAAAGCAUCGGCUAACUCGGUGCCAGCAGCCGCGGUAAUACGGAGGAUGCGAGCGUUAUCCGGAUUUAUUGGGUUUAAAGGGUGCGCAGGCGGAAGAUCAAGUCAGCGGUAAAAUUGAGAGGCUCAACCUCUUCGAGCCGUUGAAACUGGUUGUCUUGAGUGAGCGAGAAGUAUGCGGAAUGCGGGGUGUAGCGGUGAAAUGCAUAGAUAUCACGCAGAACUCCGAUUGCGAAGGCAGCAUACCGGCGCUCAACUGACGCUCAUGCACGAAAGUGUGGGUAUCGAACAGGAUUAGAUACCCCAGUAGUC
rnacentral:rRNA from 1 species